GAUGAACGCUAGCGACAGGCUUAACACAUGCAAGUCGAGGGGCAGCGGUGGUGAAGGCUUGCCUUUACCAGCCGGCGACCGGCGCACGGGUGAGUAACACGUAUGCAACCUGCCUGCCACAGCCGGAUAAUCGGGAGAAAUCCCGUCUAAUACGGCAUAAUGCAUCGACGGGACAUCCUGUUGGUGCCAAAGGUUGAUUCCGGUGGCGGAUGGGCAUGCGUCGCAUUAGUUAGUUGGCGGUGUAACGGACCACCAAGACGACGAUGCGUAGGGGUUCUGAGAGGAAGGUCCCCCACACUGGUACUGAGACACGGCCCAA
rnacentral:rRNA from 1 species